GUCAGUACGAAGCGGAGGUAUGGAUGAUUGGCGAGGACGUAUCACCUCUUCAAAGCAUUCCACCUAAUGAAAAGGCAUUCAAAACAUUUGGAUUUUGUUUCGGAGAUUGCACAAAACAAGUUUUGGAAGAAGACAUAAAGAUAAUUGCAGUAGGUUUGCAUGGUCACCUUGCAGGUA